rnacentral:tRNA from 1 species
GUUCUCAUCUUCUAGUGGUUAGGAUCGGUCACUUUCAAUGACCAGACGCGGGUUCAAAUCCCGCUGGGAAUA